GAGUUUGAUCAUGGCUCAGAUUGAACGCUGGCGGCAGGCCUAACACAUGCAAGUCGAGCGGUAACAGGGGUAGCUUGCUACCCGCUGACGAGCGGCGGACGGGUGAGUAAUGCAUGGGUAUCUGCCCGGUAGUGGGGGAUAACUCGGGGAAACCCGAGCUAAUACCGCAUACGUCCUACGGGAGAAAGCAGGGGAUCUUCGGACCUUGCGCUAUCGGAUGAGCCCAUGUCGGAUUAGCUUGUUGGUGAGGUAAUGGCUCACCAAGGCCGCGAUCCGUAGCUGGUCUGAGAGGAUGAUCAGCCACACCGGGACUGAGACACGGCCCGGACUCCUACGGGGGGCAGCAGA
rnacentral:rRNA from 1 species